UACGGGGGGGGCAAGCGUUGUUCGGAAUUACUGGGCGUAAAGGGCUCGUAGGCGGCCAACUAAGUCGGAUGUGAAAUCCCCAGGCUUAACCUGGGAACUGCAUCCGAUACUGGAUGGCUUGAAUCCGGGAGAGGGAUGCAGAAUUCCAGGUGUAGCGGUGAAAUGCGUAGAUAUCGAGAGGAACACCUGCGGCGAAGGCGGGUUGCUGGGCUGACACUGACGCUGAUGUGCGAAAGCUAGGGGAGCGAACGGG
rnacentral:rRNA from 1 species